rnacentral:lncRNA from 1 species
GGACCAGGGACUCUGAGGGCCGGAUGGUGCUGUUGGUGUGUACCCAGCAUCUGGCCUGGCUCGGUCCUCGCUGUGGUGUCCGGGAGAUCACCGACCUCUUCCUUUACCUGCAUAGCAUUCCCAGACCUGAGGAUCAGGCCCGCGGACUGACUGUGCUGGUGGACGCCUAAUGCUGCCUGCCCUACUCCAGGCUCUUCCAGGGGCUUCUCCAGAUGCAGGCUCUUCUCUCCUUCAUCCCUACCUCCCAGCUGCCCUUCACUCUGGGGGGCCGUCUCCACUACAACCACGAUGCUUGGCUGGGUUUCCAAAAGCUGCUGGAAGCCUUGCAGGAGAGCUACCUGGAGGCCCUUGCCCUGCUCCACAGGGCCAUCCAGAACCUAAAAGGAGAUCCCAGGCCGGGGACUGCUGGGGUGAGUGUGCAUGGUGGCUCCCGGGGGUGGUCACAUCACCCCCUUGCCCCCCACCCCCUCUGUGGCACUGCCUUCUUGCUCUGCUCAUCUCUGUGGUGUCUGUGCCCAUCCUCGGGGACUGACGCAGCUGUUGUGGGACCCACGGGAGCUGAUGGAGCGUGUGCUGGUAUACCCUCUGCUGCUGUGGUUGCAGCGGGAAGGUGGCAUGGCCCUGGCAGAGCUCCAGAGGGAGGAGCCGGGUGGCAUGCAGAGCUCGGACCACAGGUGGGCAUUGUGGAGAGGCCUCAGGGUGGUGGAACUUCCCAUCCCAUGGUGCCCCGCUCAAGAGGGACAAUUGUUUCUCAUGCCAGGCUGGCGGUGGAGGAGGUGGGGAAGCUGUACGCCCAGGCGGAUGGGAUGCUGCAUGAGCUGGUCACUUGUGCAACCAACGGAUAUGGACACGAGUUGGAAAAGAUGCUGAAGGCCCAGACAAAACCGCUGGCCGAGAUUGAGACGUGGCUGCAGAACGUCGGCUGGCCGGGGCUGACGGUGCCGAAGGACCCUUUGCUGAACAUGCUGCUUCAGGCCCAGGAUGCCUUCUUCAGGCUUGACUGGGCUUCCCAGGUGGGCUCGGGUCAGAGGAGAGCAGGAUACAGGAUUCUUUUUUGUGGGGCAGAAUGGAGGGCAUGCAGGCAGAGGCCAGCCCAGGCUUGGUGGUGGUGGGUGGGGUAGUGUGGGUAGUUCUAUAUCAAGGGAUCCUAGGACCUCAGGAACCUUAUUGAUCCACUCUCCCAUUCCAUAGAUUACAAGACCAAGGCCCAGAAGCCAUCCUGGGGUAGCAGCAGGGGAGCAAGGCUGGCAGAAGGCAGGAGGGGCAGAGGGCAUCCCAGGUCUAGGGUGGGUUUGAC